rnacentral:lncRNA from 1 species
AGUGAGGGGUAGAGGAAGGCGGGUCCCUGGCUCGGCUCUACCCCCAUGGAUCUAGGUGGGCUCAAUGUCAUCACAAGGGUGCUUAAGAGGGAAAGAGGAAGCCAUGAGGGUCAGAGUCAAAGGAAGACUUGAAGAUACUACACUGCGGACUUUAAAGAUGAAGGAAGGGGCGAAAACCAAGAAUGUGGGAAGCCUCUAGAAGCUAGAGAAGGCAAGGAAACAAAUUUUCCACUAGAGCCUCCAGAAGGAACACAGCCCUGCUGACCCACUGUAAUGUCUGACCUCUAGAUGUGUAAGGGUAGUAAGACUGAAAGUCUCAGAAAGGCACUGUUAAAUUCUUAUUCCUCAACUAUGCAACUCAAAACUGGGGUCCUCAGCAGUGAGCGAGGGGUGAGAGAAGACACUGUAUAAACAUGGCACAUCCUCCUGGAAAGUCAACUUUACUCAAAGCUUUAGAAACCCAGCUCAAACUAGCUGAAGCAGAAAAGACAUUACUGCGCCUAUAAGUUGAAACUUUGGAGGGAUAAAUUUCAGAGGUGUGGCUAGAUCCAACGGCUCUCUGGAAAACUCUGUGAAAAAAAUGCUUCCUCAAGUCCAGAAACCAGAAGCUCAGGAAAUUGUUGCUUGGUUCCUCUUGUUAGAGGCAGAGAUUAUUCAACGACCUACAGGGUAGCGUUUGAACAUUGUUACCAGGAAUCUUUACUUUGCCAUCUUCCAAGUCUGUUCUCCUCAGUAUUGGUUUCAUUUACAAGCAGGCCAUCUCUGCCCUCAUGGCAAUGAUGGUCUUUACUCCAGGCUUAAGACCCUUACUAUCUACUAUUUCCAAAGCGGAGAGAGAACUUCCCACACCUAGUGACCUGUGACACAGGAUUUUAUCCUUCGUACAGAGGGAAUUCAGUUGGCUAACAUAAUCUGCCUUCCAAUGGAGUAAGAAUGUCUGGACUCUUUCCUUCACCUACCCCCAAGACAUGGAGGCGUCUAAAAGAUAAAUAAAACUUGGCAACUGACCGAAGGAGGAAGAGGGGAUUUCAGGCAAAAUCAACGCUGUUCACUACGAGGAGACUUCAGAAAGGUUGCCUGCUUCUGGGGAGCAUAGUCCCUGAUUCCUCAAGACAUACGUUUAUUCUUUUCUUCAAUGUCUUUGCCUGCAGUCAAAACAAAACCAUUACCUUUAGCCAAGUUCACACAUUUCAGCCAAAUCCAUAUGCAUCGGAUCAGUUCUGUAGGUUAUGGGUGAGCAUGAACAUAUAAAAGAGGCACCUGCCUGUGCCUAUCUACUCCAUGGAAUUUCAAAAGGGGCCACUUAUGGAGAAUGUCUUUAGGGACAGAACCAACCACCCUGUCUUUCCUCCAACUCUCAAAGUAACUUCUGGCUUUAAUCCUCAAGUGUCUAUGCUGGAGUUUAAGAAAAAUGUUUUUCAUAGAAUUCAUGUGUAUGAUAUU